rnacentral:rRNA from 1 species
AUUCCAGCUCCAAUAGCGUAUAUUAAAGUUGUUGCGGUUAAAAAGCUCGUAGUUGGAUUUCUGCUGAGGACGACCGGUCCGCCCUCUGGGUGAGUAUCUGGCUCGGCCUUGGCAUCUUCUUGGGGAACGUAACUGCACUUGACUGUGUGGUGCGGUAUCCAGGACUUUUACUUUGAGGAAAUUAGAGUGUUUCAAGCAGGCGCACGCCUUGAAUACAUUAGCAUGGAAUAAUAAGAUAGGACCUUGGUUCUAUUUUGUUGGUUGGAGGCCAAGGUAAUGAUUAAUAGGGAUAGUUGGGGGUAUUCAUAUUUAAUUGUCAGAGGUGAAAUUCUUGGAUUUAUGAAAGAUGAACUCAUGCGAAAGCAUUUACCAAGGAUGUUUUCAUCA